GAUGAACGCUGACAGAAUGCUUAACACAUGCAAGUCGACUUGAACUUCGGUUUGGGUGGCGGACGGGUGAGUAACGCGUAGAGAACUUGCCUCACAGUUAGGGACAACAUUUGUAAACGUAUGCUAAUACCUGAUAUUAUGAUUUUAGGGCAUCCUAGAAUUAUGAAAGCUAUAUGCGCUGUGAGAGAGCUUUGCGUCCCAUUAGCUAGUUGGAGAGGUAACGGCUCACCAAGGCGAUGAUGGGUAGCCGGCCUGAGAGGGUGAACGGCCACAAGGGGACGGAGACACGGCCCUUACUCCUACGGGAGGCAGCAGUGGGGAAUAUUGGACAAUGGACCAAGAGUCUGAUCCAGCAAUUCUGUGUGCACGAUGAAGUUUUUCGGAAUGUAAAGUGCUUUCAGUUGGGAAGAAAAAAAUGACGAUACCAACAGAAGAAGUGACGGCUAAAUACGUG
rnacentral:rRNA from 1 species